GCGACCUGUAUGCAUUUGGUGCAGAUUCGUGAUAGUUACUCAAAAGACCAAUCCACGUUCUGCCAUAUUGCCUUCCACCCGUUCGACGAAAUACCGCCAUCUCCGAGGGCGUCGCCACCGGCCUGCCCGACCAACUCACCGUCGCCAUGACCGCCAGUUGAGCCGACUACGCCUAGGUGGAGGACUCGUGAACAAAAAUCUCUUGCAUGGCUUGACUGAGAUGGGUCUUCGAUCGUCUGCCCAGAAUAAUGUGAUACGUUUUGAAGAUGGUUCUCCAUAUCAAUUAAAAGCAAUUUACAAUUUAGGUUCCACAAAGAAACUUGCAUUCUUAAUGUGUAGGAUCUUUUUCUUGGAUUCAUAUAUUACAUUUCAAAAUUCUAAUGUUAGAACCAUCAGAAGAUUCAAAGGACCCUGGUUGACAUGGCAGUUGCAGAUACUAUAUGGAUAUUAGAGACAGUCUUAAUAUUCAUGUGGACCAAUCCAAUUCUGGGAAACUGAUAUCAUUACAGUUAUAUUUUCAGUCUAAGGUGUAUCAGCUUUAUGCUUCAUCUUAUUAGCAUUAGCUUGUCUCUGACUGAAGUUUACAGUUUUUCCUGCUCUAACUACUAGAACAUUUGGUGCAUAAUAUUUCAACUUUUGGUUGUGAAGGAUCUCAAAACUGGGAUGUCUUAUUUCCUUGCUGCUGUUGAUAAAACUAAGCAAGUGGAGAAUGAUGAUGAUUUGAAGGCCAGAGUUGAUCUGAUUGUUUGUUCUUUGGAAACCUGCAACGACUGGCAUACAUAAGACUGUUGGUUUAUGGUGGAAGUCAAAUUAAAUGGCUCCCGAUGAAGUAUCAUGAAGCUUUUGUGGCCUUUUCUAAGGCUAUAUUUGAUGGAAGGCACAAGCCUUCGUAUAUGAUAGUAUCUGUCCAUCUACUGCAUCUACCUUAUCGUUGUAUCAGCCUUGUCAUUGCCCGAGACGCCAAGGCAUAGAUGAUGUUGAAUUUUUUUGCAUUAUUGACCUCAUCAUGCUUUGCCAUCUUACCAGUGGAAAUAUUUACAUCAAAAGUGGUCCAAUCUAUUCUAAUUGGAACGUUGACCCUUUAUGUUGCUCUCAAGACCAUGUCGUCUCCACUCUCAAGUGUUUUACCUGUAGCAAGAUUGAAUAAACCUUUGAUAUUUCCUGCAAAA